rnacentral:rRNA from 1 species
UAUAGUAAGAAUUGGCAAACUGAGAGCUCUUUUUUGAUUCUAUGGGUGGUGGUGCUUGGUCGUUCUUAGUUGGUGGAGCGAUUUGUCUAGGUUAAUUCCAUUAACGAACGAGACAUUGACCUGCUAAAUAGUUGCGUGGAGGUNN